UAGUCCACCCCCUAAACGAUGAAUACUCGAUGUUGGCGAUAUUCGGUCAGCGUCUAAGCGAAAACGUUAAGUAUUCCACCAGGGGGAGUACGCCCGCAAGGGUGAAACUCAAAGGAAUUGACGGGGGCCCGCACAAGCGGGAGGAGCAUGUGGUUUAAUUCGAUGAUACGCGAGGAACCUUACCCGGGCUUGAAAGUUAGUGAAUGAGACAGAGACGUCUCAGUCCUUCGGGACACGAAACUAGGUGCUGCAUGGCUGUCGUCAGCUCGUGCCGCGAGGUGUUGGGUUAAGUCCCGCAACGAGCGCAACCCCUGUGAAUAGUUGCCAGCACGUAAUGGUGGGGACUCUAUUCAGACUGCCUAUGCAAAUAGAGAGGAAGGAGGGGACGACGUCAAGUCAUCAUGGCCCUUACGUCCGGGGCUACACACGUGCUACAAUGGAUGGUACAGCGGGCAGCUACCUGGCAACAGGAUGCCAAUCUCGUAAAGCCAUUCACAGUUCGGAUCGGGGUCUGCAACUCGACCCCGUGAAGUUGGAUUCGCUAGUAAUCGCGUAUCAGCAAUGACGCGGUGAAUACGUUCCCGGGCCUUGUACACACCGCCCGUCAAGCCAUGGAAGCUGGAAGUGCCUGAAGUGCGUAACCGUAAGGAGCGUCCUAGGGUAAAGUCGGUAACUGGGGCUAAGUCGUAACAAGGUAACC
rnacentral:rRNA from 1 species